CGUGCACUCUUGCCGCCGGUCGCCACCCUCUUUUGUUUAUUUUGUUUUUUUUGAUGCAUUCUACAGAUCCAUAUUUCUUCGGGUUAGCCGAAAUCUUCUUCCGUUGCGGAUCUUACGUCUUCGCUAGACGAUGUUUUGUUGUGUUUCCUUGUUCUUCUUUGAAGCUGAACCUCAAUCAAAUUCUUUUAUCUUCGAUGAAGAACAUUCUACUUUCCAUUGGUUUUAAUUGAAUCCCGAUGGCCAAUGAAUCGGAAUUUCUUUUCUUACCGUUUCACUUUAAUCAAUUUACAAAGAGAAUCAGUCUUUUUUGUCGAUUUAGCCAUAUAUGGCGUUUAGAAAAGCAUCACUAUCUGGAAUUGAUUGGGUUUGAUGGAUUUUUGGAGUCACUUCGAAGGAGAUCAAGAAGAGUUGGCGCUUAUAGCGGUCCAACGAAUGUUCUUUCUUCAGGUUGACUAAAGCUUCUUUGGUCCUAAUCAACGGUGAAAGAGGGCAUCUCUGAUUAGGAGGUCGCGGUUGUAGUGGAAAGUAUCUUCAGAUCGGGAAGAACGGGGCACCGGAACUGAGUAUGGAUCGUCACAAAAGUACAUCAAGACAGAGGAGCACUGCUACGGCGGACCAGUGGCGGAGCGGCGCCGACAAUUUCAUCUCGCGCAUGGAAGCCAUGUGUCCACUUCGUGUCACUAAGAGGCCGAAAAAUUAAUCAUGUUUCUUGAAUAGUGUCGGUUCAUGCUUUUGGGUUUAAUGUUGUAAAUUUAUGUUUUUGUUUAUGGGUCUUAAUGUUCUAAGCC
rnacentral:lncRNA from 1 species